GAUGAACGCUGGCGGCGUGCCUAACACAUGCAAGUCGAGCGAUUUACUUCGGUAAAGAGCGGCGGACGGGUGAGUAACGCGUGGGUAACCUGCCCUGUACACACGGAUAACAUACCGAAAGGUAUGCUAAUACGAGAUAAUAUACUUUUAUCGCAUGGUAGAAGUAUCAAAGCUUUUGCGGUACAGGAUGGACCCGCGUCUGAUUAGCUAGUUGGUAAGGUAACGGCUUACCAAGGCGACGAUCAGUAGCCGACCUGAGAGGGUGAUCGGCCACAUUGGAACUGAGACACGGUCCAAACUCCUACGGGAGGCAGCAGUGGGGAAUAUUGCACAAUGGGCGAAAGCCUGAUGCAGCAACGCCGCGUGAGCGAUGAAGGCCUUCGGGUCGUAAAGCUCUGUCCUCAAGGAAGAUAAUGACGGUACUUGAGGAGGAAGCCCCGGCCAACUACGUGCCAGCCGCCGCCGCAG
rnacentral:rRNA from 1 species